rnacentral:snRNA from 1 species
GGACGUGAGGGUGACACGUUCAGCAUCUGUCGCCCCACUGAUCUGGUUGGCUUCCUCUUCCUUUCUCAUCACUCCAUCUGUAUCCCUCACGGAAGAACGGAGACCUAGUCUUCAGUCAAGGACAUAAAAGUAGCCGUAGCUCCUGCUAGAGCCUCCAAACAAGCUUCAAGAGUGAUUUGGUGAAGUUAAACUAGGAGGCAAAGGAGAAGAAAUCAAGGAAACCCGGUUUCCUCUCCC